rnacentral:rRNA from 1 species
UAAUAGGGACGGUCGGGGGCAUCAGUAUUCAGUCGUCAGAGGUGAAAUUCUUGGAUUGACUGAAGACUAACUACUGCGAAAGCAUUUGCCAAGGACGUUUUCAUUAAUCAAGAACGAAAGUUAGGGGAUCGAAGAUGAUCAGAUACCGUCGUAGUCUUAACCAUAAACUAUGCCGACUAGGGAUCGGGUGGUGCUACUUUGCCCACUCGGCACCUUACGAGAAAUCAAAGUUUUUGGGUUCUGGGGGGAGUAUGGUCGCAAGGCUGAAACUUAAAGGAAUUGACGGAAGGGCACCACCAGGAGUGGAGCCUGCGGCUUAAUUUGACUCAACACGGGGAAACUCACCAGGUCCAGACGUAAUAAGGAUUGACAAGUUAGAGACUUCUCUUGAUCUUACGGGUGGUGGUGCAUGGCCGUUUUUAGUCCUUGGAGUGAUUUGUCUGCUUAAUUGCGAUAACGGACGAGACCUUAACCUGCUAAAUAGGGCUGCGAGCAUCUGCUCGGGUGCUCUUCUUAGAGGGACUAUGGGUAUCAAACCCAUGGAAGUUUGAGGCAACAACAGGUCUGUGAUGCCCUUAGACGUUCUGGGCCGCACGCGCGCUACACUGACGGAGCCAGCAAGUCCAACCUUGGUCGAGGCCCGGGUAAUCUCGUGAAACUCCGUC